GAUGAACGCUGGCGGCACGCCUAACACAUGCAAGUCGAACGAGGUUUGAGAGCGGUUAGUGGCGGACUGGUGAGUAACACGUAAGCAACCUGCCUAUUAGAGGGGAAUAACAGUGAGAAAUCAUUGCUAAUACCGCAUAUGCUAACAGUAUCGCAUGAUACAGUUAGGAAAGGAGUAAUCCGCUAAUAGAUGGGCUUGCGUCUGAUUAGAUAGUUGGUGGGGUAACGGCCUACCAAGUCGACGAUCAGUAGCCGGUCUGAGAGGAUGAACGGCCACAUUGGGACUGAGAUACGGCCCAGACUCCUACGGGAGGCAGCAGUGGGGAAUAUUGGGCAAUGGGGGAAACCCUGACCCAGCAACGCCGCGUGAAGGAAGAAGGCCUUCGGGUUGUAAACUUCUUUUAGCAGGGACGAAGGACGUGACGGUACCUGCAGAAAAAGCAACGGCUAACUACGUG
rnacentral:rRNA from 1 species